GUGUCCGUGGUGUAGUGGUUAAUAUGCCAGACCUUCGCACACCUCUUCCUUUCUGAUAGCCCAGGUUCAAUGCCUAGCGGCAUAUA